rnacentral:rRNA from 1 species
CCCUUAGAUGUUCUGGGCCGCACGCGCGCUACACUGUUCGACGCAGCGAGUCUUAACCUUGACCGAAAGGUUUGGGUAAUCUUCAGCAAAGUCGAACGUGAUGGGGAUCGAUCAUUGCAAUUAUUGAACGUGAACGAGGAAUUCCUAGUAAGUGCAAGUCAUCAGCUUGCGCUGAUUACGUCCCUGCCCUUUGUACACACCGCCCGUCGCUACUACCGAUUGAAUGGUUUAGUGAGAUCUCUGGAUUGACGCUGGCUAGGGGGCGACCCUUGGCCAGACUGUUGAGAAACUGCUCAAACUUGAUCAUUUAGAGGAAGUAAAAGUCGUAACA